rnacentral:rRNA from 1 species
UACAGAGGUCUCAAGCGUUGUUCGGAUUCAUUGGGCGUAAAGGGCGCGUAGGCUGCGGGGCAAGUCGGGUGUGAAAUCUUGGAGCUUAACUCCGAAACUGCAUUCGAUACUGCCGUGCUUGAGGACUGGAGAGGAGACUGGAAUUUACGGUGUAGCGGUGAAAUGCGCAGAUAUCAGGAGGAACACCGAUGGCGAAGGCAGCUCGCUGGGACGGUACUGACGCUGAGACGCGAAAGCGUGGGGAGCAAACAGG